rnacentral:rRNA from 1 species
AUGGACGGCCUCGUCGCCUUCUCCCGCCGCCGCCGCCGCUGGCUCCUCCUCCCCGCGCUGGGGACGGCGUCGGCCUACGGCGCGUACAAGAUCUACCACCUCCCGGCCGUCGCCGCCCGCCGCCGCCGCCUCGUCCGCCUCGCCGCGGCCCUCGCGGCCUUCCUCGACGCCGCCGCUUCCUCCGCCGACGCGGCGGCCCUCGUCUCCUCCGACCUCGCCGACUUCGUCCGGUCCGACUCCGACGAGCUCCCCCGCAGCGUCGCGCAGCUCGCCAAGCUCGCCGCCUCCCCCGAGGUCUCCGCCACCGUGUCGGCGCUCUCCCAGGCCGUCGCGGCCGGGGUGCUCCGCGGCGUCGGCUCCGCCCCCGGGCCCGGCUCCGGCGACAAGGCGGCCCUCACGGACCGCCUCGUCGACAAGCUCUUCUCCGACUCCGGGGAGCGCCUCGCGUCCUCUGUCGCCGGGAGCUUCGCGCGCCACCUCGUAAUGGCCUUCUACUCCGCCCCGUCUCCUGCCGGGCAGACCUCCUCAUCGCCCGAUUGGGUCAACGUGGUUGCAACGGGAAAGGGCCACAAGGCGAUUAGCAGCUGGGUUGAGGUCCUCGUCGGCACCGCCGUGGGGGUGUUCAUUGACAAGACCAUACACAUCAAUACCUAUGAGCAGCUCUUCGAAGGGCUCACCAAUCCAACCCACGACGCCAAGGUCAAGGAAUUGCUUGUUUCAGUAUGCAACGGCGCAGUGGAGACUUUGGUGAAGACCUCUCACCAAGUUAUCUCCAAGGCCAAUAGUAGGUUGGAUAACAAUGCCAAUGGCAACAGCAAUGGAAGUGGCACUGGCAGUAGCAGAGCUGGGGAAGGGUGGGUGGAGACAGUCUCUAGCACAUUGGCAGUGCCAAGUAACAGGAAUUUUGUGCUUGAUGUUACUGGGAGGGUGACAUUUGAGACGGUGAGGUCAUUUCUUGAGUUUGUGCUGUGGAAGCUGCACGAUGGGGCGAGAAAGAGUGGGGACACCGCGUUCGACAGCGGACUGCGAGCCAUGAGGUAUAUGAGUGAUAAGUCUAUGGUUGUCGCCACGAUCUGCAUAACACUGUGCCUGCAUGUGUUGAAUGGAACUCGGUUCCUGGUUACCGCUUGA